AGUGCUGUGUAUGCAGCCAUAUAGUGAAUGCCUUCAUUUGCACCCUGAACUCUGAAUAGUCACUUUUAAAACAUCCAUCUGUCAUCCAUCUAGUGAGGUCAGGAGAGUGGCUGCUUAACUUCUGGGGUGAGUAAUUCAUCUACAGAUUCACCUACCCCAAGCAAAGUGGGUAAUAUUUAAAUUCAAAGCCUGCAUUUGUUCUACAGAAACCACUUGCAGAGUCCGCUGCCUUGGGUUGCAGAAAAGGAAGAAGAAUCAGCAGAGAGCAUUUGUGGCCAGCAAAGCUUAAAAUAUUUCCUAACCGAUCCUUUGCAAAAAAAGUUCACCCACUCCUGUAGUCAGCAGCUCCCCUACUGUGCGCAGUCAGUGUGCCAUCUCAGACUAGCAAAGGUGAGUAAAACCAUCCCUGCCCCUAAUCAAUUUACAAUCUGCAUCCUCAGGGCAAGAGCCUAGUAAGCAAAAGGCAAAAUAAGAUGGCGCCAGAUAAGGGCUUCAAAGGAAGAGAGACCAGGUUUGGUGGGGAAAUAGGGGGUGGCUUCUUAGCAGGUUUUCUUUAGAUGAACCUUGAAGAUAAAAAGAGAUUUUGAUGAAUAAGGGUGGGUGAGAUGCAGAGGGGGUCAGCGCUGUGUCCUGGAACCAGUGAGUGAUUCCAUUUCAGAAGCACCCGGGGAGGCUAAAGGGUAGAUUCUAAGGCCAGAAAGAGAGGAGAAGGUCGUAGGCUGGAGACCAUGAUGAGGAGUGUAUACAGAGGGAGAGAGGAGAGAUUCCUGCACUUAGAGGCCAAAAGGACAACAAUUUGCACUUUUACUUUGGUGUCGGAAAGAACCGUAGUCUCAUAUGGUUACACGGAAGUGUUUUAUGAUAAUCAGUGAAAAAUGAGGAAAAUAGUCUCUCUUAGGCUGAGCACCUAGGAAAUGAGUGGCUCUUGGCUGUAAGUCAAUGAACAGCAUUAAUAUAUGCAGUUACCAAGUCAUCAUUAACACAUAAAGCACUGCAGGGUUUCAAUCGAUUCAUCAGAAUUCUUGAAAGUCCUAUUUUAAGGCAGUUCAAACAGAGGCGAGGCAGCUGAACCUGGUGAGGCUGCCAGGAACAGCGAGUUCUGCCUCUGAAUUUGCUCCUGACUCAGUGCCUGACCUUGGGCAAGCACUCAACGUCUCACUAUCUCAGUUUCCUCAGCCAUAAAAUGGGGAUAACAGACCUUAGCCACCUCAUAGGAGUGUCAUAAAUGUCUGCAAAAACCUUUCAAGGUAAGUGCUCCUGGAAACGGACAAGGUGGGGAGGGUUCUUUUUCAAUCGUCUAGGCGGGAAAAUGAGGUUAUCAAAAUUAAAAUAGGAGACUACUUUGUGAAACAGAAAUGAUUGUGGAUAAAUGAUGCAAAGCCGACAGAUGAUUAAAGGUACCCAUAGUCUACCAGUUAAAAUCUCUGUCAGGAUUUUCUAAAUUAACGUCAGGACAUCUUCUUUGUUGUUGUUUAAGGAUGGAAGAGAAUAUUAAAAAUCAGACAGGACCACCUUAGGGUAUGUGGUCUCACAUAUCUGUUCUAUUUGCUUUUUCGAAGCUUAGAAUAUUCUGCUCAAUUCUCUGGGUAUUACUCAGUUAUAAAGGUGCAGAGGGAUGCAUCUCCUUCUGCACUUUCUUUACUCUGUAGAUUUUCCUAAUCUGUCCUAGAGAGGGACUGUGGCAGGGUCUGCAGACAGAAGGGCUGCCUUGUAGCCAGCCAUCUUUGUAUGACCUCUGCCAUUGGCCGUUGGUGGCCGAGAAAGACACUGAAGUCUCUCGAGAAAGCUGAAGACCCAACCCUGAGAUGUACCCACACUGCACCUGGAGCAGACAAUUGGGCUAGAAGACAAGUUCUGCUCUGCUCUGGAAAGUGUGAGUGGUAAAAUAUUUAUUAGGAUCCUGCUGAGAAGACUUGCCAUUUUAACCUUCUCUCUCUCUCUCUCUCUCUCUC
rnacentral:lncRNA from 10 species